UACGUAGGGUGCAAGCGUUGUCCGGAAUUAUUGGGCGUAAAGAGCUCGUAGGUGGCCUGUCGCGUCGGCUGUGAAAACUCGGGGCUCAACUCCGAGCUUGCAGUCGAUACGGGCAGGCUAGAGUUCGGCAGCGGAGACUGGAAUUCCUGGUGUAGCGGUGAAAUGCGCAGAUAUCAGGAGGAACACCGGUGGCGAAGGCGGGUCUCUGGGCCGAUACUGACACUGAGGAGCGGAAGCGUGGGGAGCGAACAGG
rnacentral:rRNA from 1 species